rnacentral:lncRNA from 1 species
CUGAACGUGGGGGUUGGCUUCUCUGGCACUGCUGGGGCCAUGGGCGCUGGGAAGUCGUUGCCAGGCAGACUACGGAUGUACAGCUGGCAGAAUCCAUUGGAUCAGUGAGCUCACAGGAGGCUGGCCCCUCCAGGUUCAGGCAAUUGUCCCUCCUCAGCCUCCGGGGUAGCUGGGACUACAGGCGUCCACCAGGGCCCCAACAUCAUCCCAGCAGACAUCAUUUUCAUUGUAAAGGAGAAGCUACACCCUCACUUCUGCAGGGAGAAUGACAACCUUUUCUUCAUGAACCCCACCCCUCUGGGUGCUCUCGCCUGCAGCACUGUGGAGGUGAAGACCCUCGAUGACCAUCUUCUCAACAUCCCCAUCAAUGACAUCGUCCACCCCAAAUACUUCAAGAAGGUGCCAGAGACGCGGGCUCAAACCCCUGGCCACACUGCAAGGAUGGCAGGAGUGAACCACCAUGCCUGGGUAGCAAGCGCCAUCUUUCUCAAGAUACACCAUGAAAGUUGAGACAAAGAGGAAAAUAAAAGUAUGCAUCUUCUUCAUAAUGCGUGUCUUAACGAACUGUAAUAAAGAAAUGCGUAUUGGAGCUCUUUUUAAGAUGGCAAUUGUUGCAAAAUCUAAC